rnacentral:rRNA from 1 species
UACGUAGGGUGCAAGCGUUGUCCGGAAUUAUUGGGCGUAAAGAGCUUGUAGGCGGUUUGUCGCGUCUGCUGUGAAAUUUCGGGGCUCAACCCCGAACUUGCAGUGGGUACGGGCAGACUAGAGUGUGGUAGGGGAGACUGGAAUUCCCGGUGUAGCGGUGAAAUGCGCAGAUAUCAGGAGGAACACCGAUGGCGAAGGCGGCAUCCUGGACCAACACUGACGCUGAGGAGCGAAAGCCAGGGGAGCAAACGGG